rnacentral:misc_RNA from 1 species
CCUAAUUACAAUUUACAUAAGUUGCUAUGUAACACAGAAAUUGAUCUCACAAUGUGGAUACAAAGAAAUGAAAAAAAAAUGUACAGUUAUGGAGAGUAAACUCCAUCUUGGAAUCUAGAUUUUAGAAACAUGGAAAGCCUCUCCCAUUGAGAAGUCAUUGAUCCAUAAAACUGCACUUUUGCUGAUUUUUUCACUCCUUGCCGAACAAAUUCCAAUUCUUUGACAACGUCGUAUUCGACGCUUUCUGGAUAAUCUAGCAGAGGCAAUGCAGCUGAACUAUCGGAUUCAACGUUCCUGAUCCAUCCCCGCAGCAAAAAAUUAACAAUCUCUGGGACUUCAUCAUGGGGG